rnacentral:rRNA from 1 species
ACGAACGCUGGCGGCGUGCCUAAUACAUGCAAGUUGCGCGAUGAAGAUUGGUGCUUGCACCAAUUUGACGAGCAGCGAACGGGUGAGUAACGCGUGGGGAAUCUGCCUUUGAGCGGGGGACAACAUUUGGAAACGAAUGCUAAUACCGCAUAACAACUUUAAACAUCAGUUUUAAGUUUGAAAGAUGCAAUUGCAUCACUCAAAGAUGAUCCCGCGUUGUAUUAGCUAGUUGGUGAGGUAAAGGCUCACCAAGGCGAUGAUACAUAGCCGACCUGAGAGGGUGAUCGGCCACAUUGGGACUGAGACACGGCCCAAACUCCUACGGGAGGCAGCAGUAGGGAAUCUUCGGCAAUGGACGAAAGUCUGACCGAGCAACGCCGCGUGAGUGAAGAAGGUUUUCGGAUCGUAAAACUCUGUUGGUAGAGAAGAACGUUGGUGAGAGUGGAAAGCUCAUCAAGUGACGGUAACUACCCAGAAAGGGACGGCUAACUACGUG